UACGGAGGAUCCGAGCGUUAUCCGGAUUUAUUGGGUUUGAAGGGUGCGUAGGCGGACUCAUAAGUCAGCGGUGAAAGUUUGCGGCCCAACCGUAAAAUUGCCGUUGAAACUGUGAGUCUUGAGUGUAGAUGAGGUGGGUGGAAUUCGUGGUGUAGCGGUGAAAUGCAUAGAUAUCACGAAGAACUCCAAUUGCGUAGGCAGCUCACUGGGCUACAACUGACGCUGAGGCACGAAGGUGCGGGGAUCAAACAGG
rnacentral:rRNA from 1 species